rnacentral:rRNA from 1 species
GGACCCGCACAAGCGGUGGAGCAUGUGGUUUAAUUCGAUGCAACGCGAAGAACCUUACCUGGCCUUGACAUCCUCGGAACCCUGCAGAGAUGCGGGGGUGCCUUCGGGAACCGAGAGACAGGUGCUGCAUGGCUGUCGUCAGCUCGUGUCGUGAGAUGUUGGGUUAAGUCCCGCAACGAGCGCAACCCUUGUCCUUAGUUGCCAUCAUUCAGUUGGGAACUCUAAGGAGACCGCCGGUGACAAACCGGAGGAAGGUGGGGAUGACGUCAAGUCAUCAUGGCCUCCAUGGCCAGGGCUACACACGUGCUACAAUGGCAGGUACAGAGGGAAGCCAACGCGCGAGCGGGAGCUAAUCCCAGAAAGCCUGUCGUAGUCCGGAUCGGAGUCUGCAACUCGACUCCGUGAAGUCGGAAUCGCUAGUAAUCGCAGAUCAGCAUUGCUGCGGUGAAUACGUUCCCGGGUCUU